GGCUUGUUGAAUAUAAUUUCAAGUCUGACCUGCCCAAUGAAAUUGUUAAAUGGCUGCGGUAUUUUAACCGUACAAAGGUAGCAUAAUCAUUAGUUUUUUAAUUGAAAGCUUGUAUGAAGGGUUGGAUGAGAAAACUUCUGUCUCUAUAAAAACUUAUUAGAAUUUAAUUUUUAAGUGAAAAAGCUUAAAUAUAAAUAGAAGACGAGAAGACCCUAUAGAGUUUAAUAUUCAUUUAAAUAUUUAUAUUUCAAGUUUUAAAAAUAAAUUAUUUAAAUAUUUAUUUUGUUGGGGUGAUAAAAAAAUUAAGUAAACUUUUUUUUAAAAUUGUAGGUUCACUAAUUUGUGAUUUGUUGAUCCUUUUUAAAGAUUAAAAGAUUAAAUUACCUUAGGGAUAACAGCGUAAUUUUUUUUAGAGUUCUUAUCGAUAAAAAAGUUUGCGACCUCGAUGUUGGAUUAAAAUUUAUAUUUGGUGUAGAAGCUAAAUAAUUAGGUCUGUUCGACCUUUAAAAUUUUACAUGAUCUGAGUUUAAACCGGUGUGAG
rnacentral:rRNA from 1 species